GAUGAACGCUGGCGGCGUGCUUAACACAUGCAAGUCGAACGAUGAAGCCCAGCUUGCUGGGUGGAUUAGUGGCGAACGGGUGAGUAACACGCGAGUAACCUGCCCUUGACUCUGGGAUAAGCCUGGGAAACUGGGUCUAAUACUGGAUAUGACUUCUCAUCGCAUGGUGGGGGGUGGAAAGAUUUAUUGGUCUUGGAUGGACUCGCGGCCUAUCAGCUUGUUGGUGAGGUAAUGGCUCACCAAGGCGACGACGGGUAGCCGGCCUGAGAGGGUGACCGGCCACACUGGGACUGAGACACGGCCCAGACUCCUACGGGAGGCAGCAGUGGGGAAUAUUGCACAAUGGGCGCAAGCCUGAUGCAGCGACGCCGCGUGAGGGAUGACGGCCUUCGGGUUGUAAACCUCUUUCAGUAGGGAAGAAGCGAGAGUGACGGUACCUGCAGAAGAAGCGCCGGCUAACUACGUG
rnacentral:rRNA from 1 species